ACUGGAGUCCUGUUAAAAUCUGCAGUGGUUCUGGAAACGGUAGCUUUUCCACACUGCCCUACCCAUGUGCAUCACCCCUAUUCUGGAGGGAUCACUUCUAGAGGUGAGAGGGCAUUUUGGU
rnacentral:sRNA from 1 species